rnacentral:rRNA from 1 species
ACAAGCGGUGGAGCAUGUGGUUUAAUCCGAUGAUACGCGAGGAACCUUACCUGGGCUCAAAUGUAUGUUGACGUAUUCUGAAAGGGAUACUUCUUCGGACAAUAUACAAGGUGCUGCAUGGUUGUCGUCAGCUCGUGUCGUGAGAUGUUGGGUUAAGUCCCGCAACGAGCGCAACCCUUGCCUUUAGUUGCCAGCAGUUCGGCUGGGCACUCUAAAGGGACUGCCGGUGUUAAACCGGAGGAAGGUGGGGAUGACGUCAAGUCCUCAUGGCCUUUAUGACCAGGGCUACACACGUACUACAAUGGCCGAUACAAAGGGCAGCGACACUGCGAGGUGAAGCCAAUCCCGUAAAAUCGGUCUCAGUCCGGAUUGGAGUCUGCAACUCGACUCCAUGAAGUUGGAAUCGCUAGUAAUCGUGGAUCAGCAUGCCACGGUGAAUACGUUCCCGGGCCUU